rnacentral:rRNA from 1 species
AGGAAUAUUGGGCAAUGGAUGAGAGUCUGACCCAGCCAUGCCGCGUGCAGGAUGAAGGCCUUAGGGUUGUAAACUGCUUUUACUUGGGAAGAAACCUAUGGAUUUAUCCGUAGCUGACGUUACCAAGGGAAUAAGUACCGGCUAACUCCGUGCCAGCAGCCGCGGUAAUACGGAGGGUGCAAGCGUUAUCCGGAAUCACUGGGUUUAAAGGGUACGUAGGCUGUAAGAUAAGUCAGAGGUGAAAGGCUUGCGCUAAACGGAAGAAUUGCCUUUGAUACUGUUUUACUUGAAUAUGGAAGAGGUAGGCGGAAUGCGACGUGUAGCGGUGAAAUGCUUAGAUAUGUCAUAGA